rnacentral:rRNA from 1 species
GUAGGUGGCAAGCGUUGUCCGGAAUUAUUGGGCGUAAAGCGCGCGCAGGCGGUCCUUUAAGUCUGAUGUGAAAGCCCACGGCUCAACCGUGGAGGGUCAUUGGAAACUGGGGGACUUGAGUACAGAAGAGGAAAGCGGAAUUCCAAGUGUAGCGGUGAAAUGCGUAGAGAUUUGGAGGAACACCAGUGGCGAAGGCGGCUUUUCUGGUCUGUAACUGACGCUGAGGCGCGAAAGCGUGGGGUAGCAAACAGGGAUUAGAUACCCUGGUAGUCCACGCCGUAAACGAUGAGUGCUAAGUGUUAGGGGGUUUCCCGCCCCUUAGUGCUGCAGCUAACGCAUUAAGCACUCCGCCUGGGGAGUACGGCCGCAAGGCUG